UGAUUUGCGAGCGAUGCCGAAGCUGACUUGGCCGGUGAUACAAUGCGUUCAGAACUUGUCAUUCCGGCAAAUUUCAGAUUGAUUCUCCAUUGUUAUUAUUUCGAUAAUUGUCAAUUUCCAGUAAUUAUAUCAAUUUUAUGUUACAAUUGAUUAAUAUACGGUACCAGUCGAAAAUUUGAUCGAUAGUUCGUUUUAGAGAAUGCUUUGUCAGUUAAAUCAUUCUGUUACAGUUUAGGAAUGAAAGAAUAGAUUUACAUCGACUACAAAAUUACUACUCGAUCAAAUUAGAAUGAGAUUAGACAUAGGAACAAUCCCGAGCAGAGUCUAAAAGUAUCUAAAGUCGAAAAGUCGUGUUAUCGCAACUUUCCUUACCUCGGGAUUCUACUUUGAUAACAGAGUAGGAUGACCUACUUCUUUAUUUCACCGGUAAUUAACUCAGAAAUAGAUUGCACGAUAGAACCACCCACUCGCCGGUGGUGUUCGGUUCAGGCUUUACUCGAAGAAAAGAGAUUACGAGCUUGUUACGAUUUGCUUUAAGCCGUACAGUCUGGAAUUUAUGGCGGGCCACGGAUAGGACACGAGAAUUCUCAAGGCUGCUGUUCUUCGAUAAUGCUCGGAUCGAUGCACAUCCCGAUUCGCUUCGUUUCCCGUUUCUCUCUUUUCCUUUUUUUUUUUUUCCUCGAUUAGCCGAUUUUUCAUCGAACGGAAAGUUUAGACGAGAAGAAAGAAAAACUUAUAUCGGACGGAUAAAAAAAGAAAACGAUCGUUAAAGAGAGUGGAAGUAUUGGACAAGAUCGUAAUUAGCAAGAUAGCAUCCAGUGUCACUGUGGCAAAAGUCUUUUCGACGUUCCAGCCCAAGGUUAUCGUUCUGCUUCGGAGUUUCUCCUCGAUGCUAAUCACCGCUCGUACCAACCUAAUGAUCCGCUAAUACGCGCUUAUUACUCCGGCACCAAACCGAAGAACGUGGCUCGAAACUGCGUUGUUAACAUUUUCCGCGUCUAGGAGGGAGGAAGCCGCUCGGAACACGUUCUUGACGUAAUAGUUUCUCUUCGCAUCUCUAUAUCCAAAUAUGAAGUCUCUACAUAAUAUGCAUUUAGUAUGCACAAGUGUAUAUAUAUAUAUAUAUAUAUAUAUGUAUAUAUAUAUUUAUAUAUGUGAACAUAUAGGAUGAUGCCUCGUCAAAUUCCCGAGAGCACUACUUUUUACUUAAUUAAAUAAAUACUUUAUCUUAUUAAUGAAACGCGUUCGUUUACAUAUUAUGAAAUGAAAAUAUCUACAUGACCGAAUCGAGUCACCCUACACACGCACGAAUGCCUCGUAGGCGAUACGCUUUACGUAAAUAUUCGUUAUACAUAUGUCGAGGCUCAAAUAUUGGCAGCUGAUUACGAAGCUGAAGUGGUACUUCUAUGAAUUCCGAUAUCGAUGUCGACGCUGUCGAUUUUCUCGUUUCGACGUAGAUCGUCUUCUUAUGCGGAAAGUCAUCGUCAAAAUUUUUACGAAUCAUCACUCUUUUCUCAAUGAAAAACUCGUAUGCUUUGUUGAAGUAAAAGAUAAAAAAAAGAAAUAUCUAAUCGCGAAACAAAACGUGACGUCGAUCCCGAUAGAGAAUCCGUAACAAAGAAACUGCAUGCCGUGCAUAUACCAUGAUUUUUCUUUCUCUCUCUCUAUCUCUCCAUCUUUCUUUUCGUCCAUUUCGUUACAGGAAUGUCCAACUGUUGAGUCAUCAAAAUACUUUCCAGCAAAAGUAGAACGAGUCGGAGGAUAUUCUAUUGAGAGAGGACAAGCGAACGAGUCAGCCCUGUUCCUUUUCUUUUUCUCUUUCUUGCUUCGAGUUAUCCGUCUCUUUUUUCUCCCCUUCUUACGUAGCACCCAGUCUCGUUGAUGUAUCGUUUUGCUACGUGUACAUCAUAUUUUCACGUGUCGUAUCUUCUUCGUCCUCCUCGAGAAGGAUCUGAGAUUGGCUUGACUCGUUGAAAGAUCGAGAGGUAUCUUCUCUUACCUCUUCUUUCUUCCUUUAUCAGAAUCAAUAAACGAAUGUUAUUUAAUAUCUAUUUUAAGUUUUCAACGAUUGCUUCGUUUUCGAACAAAAGUAUUUCGUAUAUUCGACGAGUAGUCAUAAUUUUUUAUCAAAAAGCAAAGCUCGAACACGUUCGAGAAAGUUUCUUAAACGUUCUUCUCGCAAAUUCGUAAACUCAUUGGAAUAUCUGUUGGUAGACAGUACGUGCGCAUUGGGAAUCGACGACGCUUACACUAUCAUACGUUCCUCGAAUCCAUUGUUAUUCGUACCGUCGGUCGUGGUGAAUUAAUUGAAUGAACAUCAAAUUAAGCAACGUUCUGUCGUAACCGGCUUACGUUAGUGUUGAGGGGAGGUAGUGUGGCGAGGGUGAAUGAGGGUGCAACGUUUCGAUCGGGUAUUAAUAUUACUCGGCUUCCUCCGGCCUGUCUCUUUGUUUUAGUAUGCAGACAGUUUCAUCAGUGUGACGUGAAAUUAAGCUUAGCUAUGCCGUAGAUGACACGAGUACUACGUCGUCUUGUGAAGCGCUGAAUAUUAAUUGGUACAAUAACCGAACACGUCAAAGUUGGGAACACAUAAGAGCAAAACCGUCUUAAGAUUUUUUCCAAAGAAGAAGCUAUUUUCUUGUCAUUUUAAACAAAAUAGAAGAUUGAGACGUUGUUUCUAAAUUUGUGGAAAGUAAAAAUCGAUAAUAAUUUGGGAAACGAUCUGAAAGUAUAUCCCAAUACUAGAGAGAUUAUGAACCUUUGACGUUAGAAUAUCAAAUGAGAAUUGGAAAGUGAAAAAUACAGAGGGAAAAAUAGUCGUACGUAAAAAAGGGAGAAAACGCAGGUGGAUCGUGUCGAUGGCGCACAGUCAUGUGCGGUUUCUCACCAAGGGAAAAAAGUUGCGAGAUACUGGGAAACAAUGAUAAAAUACUUCCGCUCAUGCGAAUCGAAAGAUAUCUAGUGUCUUCUAGGUCGAUCGAUCGAUCCUACGAAUAAUUAAUUAUAAUUAAAUGAAAAUAUUCAAGGUGUUCUCGUAGAAUUAUCGUAAACUUGAGUAAGGAAGAAUUGCGAGAGAAAGAAACUAUCAAGUGGUUCGACAUCUUUGAAAAAUCCUAAUGAAGGAUUCGAUGUAGAACGAGAACGAGAACGAGAACGAGAACGAGGUAAUGUGAACGGAACGGAUUACCGAUUCUUAUAGAAGCCAAGAAAGUUCCAAGCUAAGGAAACACAUUGCGUUUGAUGGAUUUCCCUUGGAAGAAAAAUUUUUCGGUAAGAAUAUAACCAGCCUCUCCUUCUCCCACUCUUUUCGUCGACUCGUAGAAUCUUCCAAAGAAUGUCCAUUUCGAAAGAUUCUCGAGAAUAGCCGUUUAUUACCAGGAGCUUGUUGGAGUCCCUCUUUCGCUCUGAAUCCUCUUGAGUGCAGUGUCGAUGAGGCAGGCGAGGAAGAGGCAGUAGGGACUCGGUGAGAGGAUCGUAAGCUUCCAUGCAUCGAAGAGGACGAUGUCUCUGGAAAAAGGGAUGGCUCCAAUGGAAGUGGGACUGAAAGCAACUCUGUGAAAGGAGCAAAAGAGAGGGACAGAGAGAAAGAGAAAGAGGAUGAGGGCAAUAUAUAGGAGGGUUCUGCUAGGUAGAUCGCUUCUACCUUGCGAACGGAAUUGGCUAGCUGACCCGCUUCCGCGCUUCUAUUCCGCCUUCUAUUCGCGGCCGUAUCUAGUUUACCACUUUGGACAGUCGGAAGGUCUCUUUCUCUCUCUCUAUCUCUCUCUCUCUUUUUAACCUUCUCUCUAUUCCGGAUAGCGGAACCGAUCACUAUUCCAAAUAGACGCUUGGAUGUAAAAGGAAAAUCGAAUUUGACCGAUGCUGGUCGGAAGAGAGAAAGAGAAAAGUACCGUGCAUGUGAGAGAAAAACGAGAGAGAGAGAGAGAGAGAGAGAGAGAGAGAGAGAGAGAGAGAGGGAGAGAGAGAGAGAGAAAGGGCGAUGGCCAGCAGGUGCAGCGUUCGAUCGUGAACGCUCAAACAAGUAUAUGACUUUAGAGAGGUGGAGUAGGGUAAAGGGUGAACUUGGAGGAAGCUAUCGAACGCGACGGGAAAUCGAAUCAAGGAGAAAGAAGAUUUUCGUGCGAGACCUCUGCUUGGGAUGACGAACGUUUGAAGAGAAUUAUACCGCUGAUUGAAUCUCCGAUCGUUUUGGAUCUAUUCGAUUAGUUAAUGGAUCAGGAUGGAAGGUGGGAGAAGGGAAAAUUCGGCGAUUGAUUUGGUUCUUACUGUUGACGAAUGGAAAAGGAAAGUUUGCAGACCUAAUGAUUUCACGACACAACAUUUACUCGAUUCUAUCACAAAGAUUUUAAUAUUUAUAUCUGCAAGUAAUUUAUGUAUAAGGAAGUACGAUGUACCUAAUCGGAUGAAACGAUCGAGGCAAUUAUAAAUUCUUCGAGUUAGUUAAUUUACUUAUUGUUUCGUCUGGAGAUACGUUUCAUCUUGAGAAGAUACGUGUCUUUGGAUAAAAUAUAACUCGAUUGUGUAUAUUUUGAGUGAAAUAAAAAUAAUAAAAAAGAAAAAAAAUGAAAGAAAUGAAAAAAAUGAAAAAAAAAAGGAAAUAAGAAAAAAAUAGGAAAAUAAAAGCAGAAAAGGAGAGAAGAAAAGUCUAAACACGAGUAGGAGGGAGUUACUACGCGUUCCCCAGAGACGACCUUCGCGAUCAGUCCCGGAGGCGAAAAAGACGUGGAAGAAGAAUUUGAUCUUGGAUCGUGAGGCGCCAAUUGCGUCCAUUUAUUGAAUUUCUAUCUCCCACGUGAACUCGUUAAAGAAUGAAGAAAUCGUAAAAGAGAGUGAUCCUUUUCAAACAACAUUUUCCAAGAAAUAUUCUCGGUGGUCUUUUCAAAACAUAACUAUCUUCCUCUCAGCAUCUAAAUUCCGUCACCGAAUAUCCAGUGCAAAGAGUAACUUAUUAUCAAACUAAUUAAAGCUACCUUUUAAUUUAA